rnacentral:lncRNA from 1 species
AUGACAAAAGUGUAUUCUAGAAGCUCCAGUUUAAACAUCUAUUGUAGAUGCAUAGAAGAAUCUGUAGAUGACAACAAGAAUAUAGCGAUCCAAUGUGAAGACAGUUUGGUCGAACAGGAAGCAAAGGCAGAAGUCAGUCGCUGGAAAAAAUAUCUGGAUCAGGGCAAUGAAACUCAGGAAGAUGAGGAGGAGGAAGAAUCAGGAGGUACAGAAAGGCAACAGUUCUGCUCCCGGAGGAAGAACACUGUGGAAGAACAAAGGAAACACCAGAACAGCUUCCCCUACACUGAUGUUCAGGAGUUGUCAGAGGAAAAUGGAGCUUUCCAGUUUGCCUACCAAGCCAAAAAGCGCAAGCAAUGUUCAGUAGCAGUGCCUAAGCAAGGUGAUGGAGAUGCUGUUUGUGGAGACAGUAUGAGUCCUGCUCUUUGUGAGCCUGUGGUGUCUGAGGGGAACACACAAACCCCAGCUCCUUCUAUCAAGUCCUCAAAGUGGGAAAAAUUUCUCUCGUGUUCUGACGACGGUAGUGAAAAUGCUGCCAAGGUCACCUUGUCACCACAGGAGGGCGGUAGACAGCUGGGGCUACACAGCAGCACUGCAGCAGACAUCUUCAUGAGAGAGACUUCUACAAGUGAGGUGGAUGCUUGGAAUACUGGAUGGCAUCUAGUGCUGCCCCAAUGUCGCAGUUCUUUGUCUGCAGGAGUCGAGUGA